AUUGAACGCUGGCGGCAGGCCUAACACAUGCAAGUCGAGCGGAUGCAGGGAGCUUGCUCCUGGAUUCAGCGGCGGCCGGGUGAGUAAUGCCUAGGAAUCUGCCUGGACGUGGGGGAUAACGUCCGGAAACGGGCGCUAAUACCGCAUACGUCCUGAGGGAGAAAGUGGGGGGUCUUCGGACCUCACGCUAUCAGAUGAGCCUAGGUCGGAUUAGCUAGUUGGUGGGGUAAAGGCCUACCAAGGCGACGAUCCGUAACUGGUCUGAGAGGAUGAUCAGUCACACUGGAACUGAGACACGGUCCAGACUCCUACGGGAGGCAGCAGUGGGGAAUAUUGGACAAUGGGCGAAAGCCUGAUCCAGCCAUGCCGCGUGUGGGAAGAAGGUCUUCGGAUUGGAAAGCACUUUAAGUUGGGAGGAAGGGCAGUAAGUUUAUACCGUGCUGUUUUGACGUUACCAACAGAAUAAGCACCGGCUAACUUCGUG
rnacentral:rRNA from 1 species